ACUGGGUGCGUAACACGUGGGCAAUCUGCCCUCCGAUGGGGAAUAACCCCGCGAAAGCGGGGCUAAUUCCGCAUAACAUUCCCUGGACUCUGGUUCGGGGAUUCAAAGCAGCAAUGCGUCGGAGGAGGAGCCCGCGCCCGAUUAGCUAGUUGGUGAGGUAACGGCUCACCAAGGCAAUGAUCGGUAGCUGGUCUGAGAGGAUGGCCAGCCACACUGGAACUGAGACACGGUCCAGACUCCUACGGGAGGCAGCAGUGGGGAAUCUUGCGCAAUGGGCGAAAGCCUGACGCAGCGACGCCGCGUGGGGGAUGAAGCUUCUCGGAGUGUAAACCCCUUUCGACCGGGACGAAUGCCCGCAAGGGAGUGACGGUACCGGUAGAAGAAGCCCCGGCUAACUACGUGCCAGCCGCCGCGG
rnacentral:rRNA from 1 species